rnacentral:lncRNA from 1 species
AGUAUAUCUGGAGAUUUAAGAUAGUUUAAAAAUGCAGUUUGUUUACUGGGGAAAAAGCCAGAUUAGGCAUUUAUGUCACAAAAAGUAUUUUUCCCUUAAGCUAAAGCCUAAGUGGACCAGGGUUAAAUGCCCAAAUCUAGUUCUCAGCUUUUUAAAUUACAAAGCCACUCAGUUACCAAUCAUGAGUGUGCCUGGGUUGCGGGGGAGGGGUCGUGGGCGGGGGGAAGCAAAAGAGAGUAAGAAUAUGCAUACAGCAAAUAAGCAUUUUCUCAAAAAGAUUUAUAAUGCUUAUUACCUUUACAGACAUCAAAAAAUACUAGAAAUAUGAUUUCAUUUUUAAAGUAUGGUAUUUCCUUCACGAGGAACAUACAUCAAGUCAUUUAAGCCCUCAUGCUAUGGAAAGGACAAAGGGUUUUGCUUACAGGCAGACCUGGGUUUGAAGCGUGGCUCUGACAUUUACUAGCCUGGUGCCCUGGCUGAGUUGCUUCCCUUCUCUGAGCCUCCAUUACCUAACAUUUAAAAUGGCAUAAGUGAUACCAAUUUUGCAAAGUUCUUUUGAAGAUCUGUCAGAAGGUAUGAAGGGCCUUCAGCAUGGUGUCUGGGGGCAGGAGAGACACAAAUGGAAGCCAUCAUUCUUUCUCUACUACUAUUUGACACCGUAUGAAGACAAAUGAAUAAAACACUGGCACACCUCAAAAUUGCUAGAGAGGGGAAUAGGAGACAAGGCAAAUACAAUUGCAAUUUGAGGGGAAGUAUACUACAACAAAGGCUGGAAGACAAUGUUAAAUGCAUUAUGAAAAAAUAUUAGUGAAAAGAGCCACUAGUGUAUCCGUCAUGAAUCAGCAACAGAAAUUUUGAUUUGGGGGCAGAUAUGUGUGGGCUGGAGGGGUGAGGGAGGACGGCACAUCACACAGAAGGAAGGAGGAAUAACAAGUGCAAAGGCAGGCAUGAGAGCGUGGCAUGCUGGGCCACAGCAAGAGAAGAGUUUCAGGGUGACCAGCCCUUAGGACAGGAAGGGGGAAUGGGACAUGACAAGGGUGUCAGCUAAGUAGAUGCUGGACUGUGAAAGGCCUCAUAUGCCAGGCUAAGUAUUAUAUACUUAUAUAUUCAAUAAAUAUUAUGGCAUAAUAGGGCUGCCUAUUAUGUCUUUAGAGAUACAAAGACAAAACUUAUUAAUUCAAAAGAAAUGAUUUUUCAGUACCUACUAUUUGCUAGAUGUUUUUUUCACACACUGGGGAAACUAUGGUGGACAAAAUAAAAUCUCUGUCAUAAUGAGUCUUACAGAGAAGACAGUUAAUCAACAAAAACCUGUUAGGGCUCUGGAGAAAAAUAAAGGGGUAUAAAAAGUAAAAGAAAAAUAAAGUAAGAGGGAUGUGGGUGGUAGCAGUUGAGGCCUCUGUUUUAUACUGAGUGGUCAGGGACAGUCUCUGUGAUAAAGUGACAGGAAGUGAGAAAGUGGGCCAUUUGUGAAAAGAGCAUUCCAGGAAGAAAGAAGACAAGUGAAAGGCCCUGAGGCAUGGUCAGUUUUUCUAUGUUUCAGGAAUAGUACAGAGGUCAGUGUUUCUGGAAUCCAGCAAAGGACAGCCAGAGCCACCAUAAACAGAGGAUGAGGAUGUGUCAUAUAUAAUGAGGCAUUCGGUCAUUCACAUCAUAGACCUGUGUCAACUUACAUGAGCUUCCAUACUUCCUGGCUGAUUUGUGGCACAGCAGUGGAGAGAUCCCUCCUACACAAACCUACACCAGCUGGCACAAUCCUGGACACACUAAGCACAGCACACCCUAACUGCAUGUAGAGAUGCACGUACAGGCUGGCCCUGUCCUGCUGUGCUCCCAUCAAUCCCUGGGGUUGCUUUCUUACUUGCACAAGUCCCAGCUUUUGGCCCUGCUGGUCUAUGAUGUGACAGGGUUGCCUUGCCUAGGGCUGCAGACUGCUGAUGGUUUUUUGUGCAUGUGGGUGCCAGGGAGGCUGUCCUAUGUCCUAUGGCCCAUGGUGAAGUUCUUUAGGCUCCAUAAACACUAGCAUAAAAACUGCUGUGCCUUCAAAUGUUAGCCUAGUCUGGGUGAAGCACCUUGCCCAGUUGCUCCAUCCUCUCUAACAGGGCUCUUCAUAUAGUAGUGCAAAUAUUAUCUGUUUCUCCUACUAGAUCAUUAAGGUUAAAAUGUCAAAAGCAUUCUCAAAUAUAAAAAUAUUUUUGGUUUCAACUUUUGUUGUUUACAUGUCUAAUAUCUUCUGUUAAAUCACAAAGUAAAUUAAUUUCACAAUUUUCAACUCCAAGAUCCUUGUACCGUGAUGUCAUACACUAAACAUUGUCAAAAAUGCUGCACUAUAUGAAAACACACCAAAUAUCUGUGUAUUGAAACAAAUUUAGUGUUUGGCUCUUAGGUGAGACAACAGAGUAUGGCAUAUUAGGAUGGGUUUUAGAGGCAGAGACUCAUGUUUAGAUACUAGCUUUACUAGCUCCAAGACUUUCAGUGAGUAAAUUUCUUUGAACUUCAGCUUUUUUGUUUUUCCUCGAAUACAGGAACAAGACUUUGUAAGGUUUGUAAAGAUUAAAAUGAAAAACGUGUACAAAACAGCCUAUAGGAACUAUAAACAAUGCUACUUCCAUUUAUACCCUACCUCCCUUUCCCAUUCGUUCAUUCAUUCAUUCAUUCAUUCAUUCAUUCAUACAUUUGGCAAGCGUUCAUUGAACACAUAUAUGAAUGAAUGAAUGA